rnacentral:miRNA from 1 species
UUGCCCCUGAGAUCGUCAAGC